UUAAAGGAAAAGGGGAGUCCGUAAUCUGAGCAGGCUGAGAGUAGACUAAAGAUGUCUUGACCCGGGAACCUGAUUUGGAUCAUGCCAACGUAGGGAAAGAAAAGUUGCCGACA
rnacentral:ncRNA from 1 species